GGGGAUUUAGCUUAGUGGUAGAGCAUUUGCCUAGCAAGCGCAAGGCCCUGGGUUCGGUCCCCAGCUCCA
rnacentral:tRNA from 1 species